rfam:Hordeum vulgare subsp. vulgare, WGS project CAJW01000000 data, contig: morex_contig_6503
CUAGUACUCCCUCCGUCUUAAAAUUCUUGUGUUAGGUUUGUCUAAAAAUGAAUGUAUCAAAAUACUAAAAUGUGACUAGAUGUAUUCAUAUCUAAACAAAUUUAAGACGAAAAUUUUGGGAAUGAGAGAGUAUUUU